AUGGGCGAUCCCCCGUGUAAGAGUGAGGUGGAGGAGGACAUUCCAGUCCAUGUGACCACAGCUUCUAGACGUUCCCGGAGACUGAAGAAAAGGGGUGGCAGCAAGUUUCGUGAGUGUGACAUAUCAAAGCCCAAUUUGGAAAGGGGUUCAGGAGUUAAUAUCCAAACAGUACUUAAAGAAAUGGGCAAAAAAAUGUUGGCCCUUCAGCGGGACCACAUAAAGCAUCAGCGGGAGCUCCGGGCGUUCCAGAAUAGAAAGCUGAGGGAGCUGGAGCUCCACUUCUCCCACGGCAUAGCAGAAUUGGAGGAGCAACACCGCAAGGCCAUGGAGGAACUGUUAAACCUCUGCGACAAACUCAAAUCAUUACCUUAAUGUGAAUUGUUAUAAUUAUAUAAAACCAAAACAUAUUUAAUUAAACGUUUAAAUAUUUUACUUAUA